GAACGUGCAGAGCAUUUCAGAGCUUGUGAUGGUUUACACAUCAGCCCUGCGCAAACUACGCAUCAUACCUACAGCAGUGACAACCACCUUGCAGCUGAAUCAGCUCUGUGGUGAGGAGAGCUGUGGUCUGUCUGCAGUGCUACCAGAAAAGAUACAAACACAACAGUGAAAUGAAAGAGCAGCUCAUCAAGAGCACUUUGGGUUCCUGGAGAAACUUCCCACAGUGCAAAAGAGUUUCUAAGCUGUCCUGAAGAAAAAGACAAACUUGGGAGGAGCAGAAGAUCCCUUGCUUGCUGUUGGUCUUCAUUGUCAGAGCCAGUUUCUGGAAGAUCUGAAAUCUCUUCUGACAGACCCACUGGGAUCUCUGGUGGCUUGGCUGCUGAGUAGGCACAUUGAAGAAAAUCAAAAACUAUGUCUUCUGUUUGGGCCUAAAAUGUGGUUGUGUUCUGUGUCCAACCACCAGCUCUCCAGGAAAGUUCCUCUUCAGAGGAGAGACCAUUGAAGCCAAGGAGUGGGAAAUGUGCUGGAGAGGAUGUGCUCCCUUGGGCAAAGCAAAGCAGUGUGCAGCUACUUUUCUGUUUCCUCCUUGUUGGACCCUCUCUGCUGUGCACCAGGGUAUAGACAGUCGUCUGCAUGACUGUCAGUGCUGUGAUGGAUUGGAGCAGGCUGGGAAGGCAGCAAGAGGGUGGGGAACAAGGAUGGCAAGAAUGGUCUCCAACACCGUUACCACCCCGAGCUUCUAGUUCCUCUUCUGUCCCAAAAGCCAAGACAGCAUCAGCAGACUGCUCCAGCAACCCAGUGCAGCAGCCCAGGGUGCAGCACGAGAACCCAGACUGUAGCCCAGCGCAGUCCCAGGGGGCUACUGAGAUCUCCACAGCAAAGAUAGAUAAAUACUGUCUAAAUGUGUUUUGUUUUCGUUUGUUACUAUUUCCUG
rnacentral:lncRNA from 1 species